AUUGAACGCUGGCGGCAUGCCUUACACAUGCAAGUCGAACGGCAGCACGGGAGCAAUCCUGGUGGCGAGUGGCGAACGGGUGAGUAAUAUAUCGGAACGUGCCCAGUCGUGGGAGAUAACGCAGCGAAAGCUGUGCUAAUACCGCAUACGAUCUAAGGAUGAAAGCGGGGGAUCGCAAGACCUCGCGCGAUUGGAGCGGCCGAUAUCAGAUUAGCUAGUUGGUGGGGUAAAGGCCCACCAAGGCGACGAUCUGUAGCUGGUCUGAGCGGACGACCAGCCCAACUGGAACUGAGACACGGUCCAGACUCCUACGGGAGGCAGCAGUGGGGAAUUUUGGACAAUGGGCGCAAGCCUGAUCCAGCAAUGCCGCGUGCAGGAUGAAGGCCUUCGGGUUGUAAACUGCUUUUGUACGGAACGAAACGGCCCUUUCUAAUACAGGGGGCUAAUGACGGUACCGUAAGAAUAAGCACCGGCUAACUACGUGCCAGCAGCCGCGGUAA
rnacentral:rRNA from 1 species